rnacentral:rRNA from 1 species
UACGUAGGGAGCAAGCGUUGUCCGGAAUCAUUGGGCGUAAAGCGCGCGUAGGUGGCCUCAUAAGUCCGCUGUGAAAGUCAAAGGCUCAACCUUUGAAAGCCGGUGGAUACUGUGGGGCUAGAGUACGGAAGAGGCGAGUGGAAUUCCUGGUGUAGCGGUGGAAUGCGCAGAUAUCAGAAGGAACACCAAUAGCGAAGGCAGCUCGCUGGGACGUUACUGACACUGAGGCGCGAAAGCGUGGGGAGCGAACAGG